AUUCCAGCUCCAAUAGCGUAUAUUAAAGUUGUUGCAGUUAAAAAGCUCGUAGUUGGAUUUGUGGCAGUGAUUGAGAACCAUUUUUUGGAUUCUUGAACACAGCCAUCCUUGAGAGGAAUUUAUGUGGCAUUAGGUUGUUGCAUGAAGGAUACUCAACGUUUACUGUGAAAAAAUCAGCGCGUUCAAAGCAAGCUUAUGCUUUUGAAUGUAUUAGCAUGGAAUAAUAAGAUAGGACCUUGGUACUAUUUUGUUGGUUUGCGCACCGAGGUAAUGAUUAAUAGGGAUAAUUGGGGGUAUUCGUAUUCCAUUGUCAGAGGUGAAAUUCUUGGAUUUUUGGAAGACGAACUACUGCGAAAGCAUUUACCAAGGAUGUUUUC
rnacentral:rRNA from 1 species